AUACGGAGGGGGUUAGCGUUAAUCGGAAUUACUGGGCGUAAAGCGCGCGUAGGCGGCUUGGUCAGUCGGAUGUGAAAGCCCCGGGCUCAACCUGGGAAUGGCAUUCGAUACUGCCAGGCUAGAGUAUGGGAGAGGGAAGUGGAAUUUCCGGUGUAGCGGUGAAAUGCGUAGAUAUCGGAAGGAACACCAGUGGCGAAGGCGACUUCCUGGCCCAAUACUGACGCUGAGGUGCGAAAGCGUGGGGAGCGAACAGGAUUAGAAACCCUAGUAGUCC
rnacentral:rRNA from 1 species